AAACGAAAAAAAAGGCGAACGAAAAAUUUACUGCGUUAGAAGUAAAGUAAUCGAAAAUCAACAAAGUUAACAAUGAGUUUUAUUUUAACAAUAAUUAAUUUUUAAUCAUAUUUCAAGAAUAACUUUACAAUUUUAUUAAGAAUUGCAAUGAAAUGAGAAUAACCCACAACGCCCUAGAUAGCGAACAAGUGGUAGUGGUUAGUGUUGACACUCGCGCGCCGUCCACAGUCGAGUCACCUCACAGCUGCCACACCGCUACUAUCGUCACCACUCAUCAUGCGUCUCCUAUUUGUGGUGUUCUUUUUGCACAUCGUCAUUGUGUCAUCAGCACCACAGUCAAAACUCCAAUUCGAUAAUGAAGAUAACAACGCAAAGCAGGUUAUUGAAGAGGUGGUAGUGGAAUCCGUCCUUCACAUCAAGAGUCCGACGAACAACCGUCAGGCAAGAACAGAAGCGAGAAUAAACUUGAAAGAUGGCGCUCGCGUCGCUGAAGCAAGAAACUAUUAAUUUUUUCUCGUAUUUGUAUUGUACACAAAUCACUAACUAGUCAAAUUAUACAAAAAUGUUUUUGAUGUUACACAAAAUAUCUUCUACGGCUAUCUGUAGAACACUGAAAUAGGUUAAGUUGUUGUUUAUAUCCUAAGUAUGAUUCAACUAUAGAUUCGCUUAAGAAAUAAAUAUAAAAUAAAAUAUACCCCCUUAUUACAUAUUUAACUGAGGUGGGGCACAGCAGGAAAUAUCCUGGACAAAAUCUAGAGCAGCCUGUCUGCAAAAGGUAAUAUUAUAAAAAAAAGGUAUGAUAAAAUUAGGUAAUAGCACUGUACUCAGUUUGAGUGUGUUGUGAAUAAAGUGACGAGAGCUCCUGGGAUUGGGAGUACGGUAGGCCACACGCUUGUGAUGCUUCUAUUGCAGGCGUCUAUAUAAGCUACGAUAAUCACUUACUGUUAGAGGAGAUGUACAUCUUUACGCUUGUUUGUCGAAAUAGUUAUAUAUUGUACAUUUUUUACGAUAGGUCUAUAAUUAUAUUAAAAGAAAUUAAUAUUAUUUUUAUAAACAAGGUAAAGCUAUUUUGGAUUACUAUUACUGAUUAAACAAAGACGUAUAUCGUUUAAAUAUUUCUACUAUUUUUUUCUCUUUACUGUCUUCACUGCUUGAUAUCAAAAUACUAUUUAUAUUAACCAUAAUAUUGCCUCAUUAUGUGAUUUAUAGUCUUAUUUUUAUUUAUAUAACGUAUAUAUAUGUAGAUGUGUGUAUAAAUUAUAUAACAUUAAAAAACAGUUAUAAAAAUAAUAACUAAAGAUUAUAGCAACAACAAACAAACUCUUCUAAUUAACUAUAGACAUAAAAUACAAACAUUAGUCUAACAUACACAGGCAAAAUACCUUUUAGAUUAUAAGAGUCACUGCCUUAAAAAUUUAUAUAAAUGUACUUAGAAAUAUACACACUUAAAAACUUAAACAGCCAGUCUAGAUUACCUUACACGUACAAGUGACUUAUUUCAUACGAACUUUCUAAAAUAUACAAUAAUAAUUGUUCUGCCACCAUACUCGUACAAGUCGCCGUAAUAUUUAUUUUGUUACAAUUUCAAGUAAUUUGUAUACAGUUAGUUAUAUUAUAUUAGGGGACAUUCAUUAAUUACGUGAGCUCAGAAUGGGGGGAGGGGUCCAAUGAAAUCUCACCAAAUCUCAUUUAAACCGAGGGGGGGAUAAUCGAAAAUCUCACAUCGACUUCAAAAAAUAUAAAAUAUUACAGACAUUUAAAAAAAUAUUUUGAGGGCUCAUUUUGCCCGCUAAAAUAAAUCUCAUGGCUAUUAAAAUCAUUCAGUUUUUGCUUUGAAUUUUAUUUAAUUUAAAUAAAUUAACUGUGGUAUA
rnacentral:misc_RNA from 1 species